rnacentral:rRNA from 1 species
GAUGAACGCUGGCGGCGUGCCUAAUACAUGCAAGUCGAGCGAACAGAUGAGGAGCUUGCUCCUCUGACGUUAGCGGCGGACGGGUGAGUAACACGUGGAUAACCUACCUAUAAGACUGGGAUAACUUCGGGAAACCGGAGCUAAUACCGGAUAAUAUAUUGAACCGCAUGGUUCAAUAGUGAAAGCCGGUUUUGCUGUCACUUAUAGAUGGAUCCGCGCCGCAUUAGCUAGUUGGUAAGGUAACGGCUUACCAAGGCAACGAUGCGUAGCCGACCUGAGAGGGUGAUCAGCCACACUGGAACUGAGACACGGUCCAGACUCCUACGGGAGGCAGCAGUAGGGAAUCUUCCGCAAUGGGCGAAAGCCUGACGGAGCAACGCCGCGUGAGUGAUGAAGGUCUUCGGAUCGUAAAACUCUGUUAUUAGGGAAGAACAAAUGUGUAAGUAACUAUGCACGUCUUGACGGUACCUAAUCAGAAAGCCACGGCUAACUACGUG